ACCACUUCAGGUGACUACAGAGAACAUUGCUCAGUUUGUAUUCAAAAUCAAGCAAUGAACAAACCUAGAAAUAUUCCUACUAAUAAAAACAUGCGGUAAGAAUUUGCAAAACUGUUCGUGCUGGACUGUGGCAUGAUUUAUCUCUGGGUGUACAGUUACAUCCUGUUAAGACAGUUUGCAAUUAAUACACAGAAAUCACUCUGCAGCCCUUGAGAAGGAAAUGGAACAGAGUCCAUAAACUGAUAGCUGAAGAUAUGAGAAAGAGGGCACAAGCUGUGAAACGAAAGAAGCAAGAACAAUGAAGAGUAGCAAAACAAAUUUAUUCAGAAAAAAAGCAAAAAGGGAAAAGAAAGGGAGUUCGGCAGACCUGUGCUACCUCACAGCUGGAAUAAAGAUUCCCAUAGAGAUCCAGUCUUCCGACCACAUUUCUGCAGAGUGCAGUGUUUGACUACUCUAUUCUAUAUAGCCACACCCCUUCCAAGCCAACCAGGACAAAACUUGUUCCUUGAGUGAUUUAAAUAUGACAACUACUGUUCUGAAACAUCUCUUGAGCUAUUCUGACAUAGCAGCACACUUUUAUCCUGCAAAUGGGAAACCAGCAUUCUGCAACAGUUCAAAGUACGUGGAUCAUCAGUCCCUGAAAGUUUUGGGUACUCACUAGCCAAGAAUGAAUCAGUUGACUACAUCCAGGUACAAGGGGGUCUUUUUUUCCUUCUGUGAUCCAGUCUCCUGAAACAUAGCUGGACCAGGAAUGUGUAUGUGCAAUUCGAUAAGACAGAUCACUUCAACUUGAAAUCUUUAUAAGCAGGGUUUUAUAGUCUUAAAAGUCUUAAACAAGAUUUCUUCCUCUUUUCCACAGACAGAAGUUAACUACCAGAUGCAUUUAUCCUAAUAGUUUCUAUAUACUGGCAUCCAGCCAGUGAAUAGUUCAAUUAAGAGGUUGACUUCUUUCAAAGACUGUUUUAACCUGCUGACUGCAGAGGCUGCCUGCAGAUGUGGACUAUCGCUAGGAUUUUCCCCGAGCCCAAGUGAGCAUACCAGAAGGCAUUACUGAAGCCCUUACACUUACCCACCCCACAGGGCAGGCCCAUACUGCCUCUCCACCACAUGUACAGCCACAUCCCACGGGCACCAGCCACCAACUCCAGCAAUAUCAGAGAGGCACAACAUUGUCAUUCAUGUGGGGAGCCACCCCCCAAAGGCAGAGAACCACCUUUGUUACUCAAGUAGCUAACUGGAGAAAUCUCACUGACAUGAAAAGAUACAGAGAUGACAAGUUACUUUUAACAGCCUGAGAAAGUUGUGAGUGCUUAAAUGAAGCAAUUGAGUAGGCUGAACGUUAUAGUUUCCUACACAAAACUCUAUUUAUAGA